rnacentral:rRNA from 1 species
GAUGAACGCUGGCGGCGUGCCUAAUACAUGCAAGUCGAGCGAACAGACGAGGAGCUUGCUCCUCUGACGUUAGCGGCGGAAGGGUGAGUAACACGUGGAUAACCUACCUAUAAGACUGGGAUAACUACGGGAAACCGGAGCUAAUACCGGAUAAUAUAUUGAACCGCAUGGUUCAAUAGUGAAAGACGGUUUUGCUGUCACUUAUAGAUGGAUCCGCGCCGCAUUAGCUAGUUGGUAAGGUAACGGCUUACCAAGGCAACGAUGGGUAGCCGACCUGAGAGGGUGAGCGCCCAAGCUGGAACGGGGACACGGUCCAGACUCCUACGAGAGGCAGCAGUAGGGAAUCUUCCGCAAUGGGCGCAAGCCUGACGGAGCAACGCCGCGUGAGUGAUGAAGGUCUUCGGACCGUAAAACUCUGUUAUUAGGGAAGAACAAAUGUGUAAGUAACUAUGCACGUCUUGACGGUACCUUAUCAGAAAGCCACGGCUAACUACGUG